CAGUCGCCACGGUAAUACGGAGGGUGCAAGCGUUAAUCGGAAUUACUGGGCGUAAAGCGCACGCAGGCGGUCUGUCAAGUCGGAUGUGAAAUCCCCGGGCUCAACCUGGGAACUGCAUUCGAAACUGGCAGGCUAGAGUCUUGUAGAGGGGGGUAGAAUUCCAGGUGUAGCGGUGAAAUGCGUAGAGAUCUGGAGGAAUACCGGUGGCGAAGGCGGCCCCCUGGACAAAGACUGACGCUCAGGUGCGAAAGCGUGGGGAGCAAACAGGAUUAGAUACCCGAGUAGUCCCUGUCUCUUAUAC
rnacentral:rRNA from 1 species